UGCAAGUCGCACGAGAACGCUUCAGCUUGCUGGAGCUAGUAAAGUGGCGUACGGGUGAGUAACGCGUGGGUAAUCUAUCUCUGAAUUGGGGAUAACAUUGCGAAAGCGAUGCUAAUACCGGAUAAAAUCCAUUAAACCUCGGCUUUUUUGGAUCAAAGGUGGCCUCUACAUGUAAGCUACUGUUUGGAGACGAGCUCGCGUACCAUUAGCUUGUUGGUAGGGUAAUGGCCUACAAAGGCAACGAUGGUUAGCUGGUCUGAGAGGAUGAUCAGCCACACUGGAACUGACACACGGUCCAGACUCCUACGGGAGGCAGCAGUGAGGAAUUUUGCGCAAUGGGGGAAACCCUGACGCAGCAACGCCGCGUGAGUGAUGAAGGCUUUCGGGUCGUAAAGCUCUGUCAAGUGGGAAGAACCCGUGCCGUACAAAUAGUGCGGUGCGCUGACGGUACCACUGAAAGGAAGCACCGGCUAACUCCGUGCCAGCAGCCGCGG
rnacentral:rRNA from 1 species